AGAGUUUGAUCCUGGCUCAGGAUGAACGCUGGCGACGUGGAUAAGGCAUGCAAGUCGAACGGAUACUAUAGCAAUAUAGUAUUAGUGGCGAACGAGGUAGUAAAAAGUAGGUACGCACCCUGAAGUCGAGAAUAACUGAUCGAAAGAUCAGCUAAUACUCGAUAGUCUCUUCGGAGUAAAGUUUUAACGCUUCAGGAGCGGCCUGCUCGGUAUCAGCUAGUUGGUAGUGUAAAAGACUACCAAGGCUAUGACGCCUAGGGGAGCUGAGAGGCUGACCCCCACCGAUGGAACUGAGACACGGUCCAUACACCUACGGGUGGCUGCAGUCGAGAAUCUUCCACAAUGGACGAAAGUCUGAUGGAGCGACGUCGCGUGAUUGAUGAAGUCUUUCGGGAUGUAAAGAUCUUUUAUGUGGGAGAAAGUUAUUGAUAGUACCACAUGAAUAAGGGGUUGCUAAACUCGUGCCAGCAGCAGCGGUAAUACGAGUGCCCCAAGCGUUAUCCGGAAUUAUUGGGUGUAAAGGGUGUGUAGGCGGUCUUGUUAGUCGCGUGUUAAAUCUCCAGGCUUAACCUGGAACCAGCAUGCGAUACGGCAAGACUAGAGGAUGCGAGAGAUGUGUGGAACUCAUAGUGUAGGGGUGAAAUCCGUUGAUAUUAUGGGGAACACCUAAAGCGAAGGCAGCACAUUGGCGCACUCCUGACGUUGAAACACGAAAGCGUGGGUAGCGAAUGGGAUUAGAUACCCCAGUAGUCC
rnacentral:rRNA from 1 species